CAGGUUUUCCAGAAGAGAGAUAUAGGUGCCUUCAAUUUCAUUUGGCAAAAAUGGCUAACAAGGUUCCAGAAUCCAACAGAAGGGUGUAAAUGAACAUCAGCCCCUGAAAACACCUUCAAACGCCUGAGUUCAUCUUGGGAAUGCUGUCCCAGUACAGAAGAAUCUGGAUGCCUCACAUGACUGGCCUCUUUAUCUUGCUCCACAGUUGCUGAGGCCAGGGAAAUCCCUGCCAGCCCCAAGGAAUGCCCCAACACGUGGCGGGAACAGCACGUGGAGGCCUGCUGCAGAGCGCUUGUGCACAAGAAGAGAGAAAGGCUGCAGCUUUGCUCCACAGAAAUUGAAAAACGCAGGCAGAGGGGAGAACACUGGACCAAGCGCCCGCUAGCUGGGUGCAGCCACGCAUGGUUUGCUUUGAAGCCAGUUUGGCCUCAUGUCCCACCAGCCUUUGGUGUGCCAGGGGGGAGGCUGCACAUAGCAGGAAAACCCGUGACGUGUAAGAAAGGGAGUCGUCACAACCAGCGGGCAAAGGAAGGAUGAGGCUUUAGGGAUUUGGGGUACUAAGUGCAUGUUACGUAGAGAGAAGAACAAAACCAAAGCCAGAAAACAGAAAUCAUUAGACAGCACCCACCAUUUCCCCGAGGGCUCCGCAAACAUGAUUAGUACAGGGCCCCUGCUGUCUCUUUUUGGCUCAA